rnacentral:rRNA from 1 species
UGGGGAAUUUUGGACAAUGGGCGCAAGCCUGAUCCAGCCAUUCCGCGUGCAGGAUGAAGGCCCUCGGGUUGUAAACUGCUUUUGUACGGAACGAAAAGGUUUUCUCUAAUACAGGGGACUGAUGACGGUACCGUAAGAAUAAGCACCGGCUAACUACGUGCCAGCAGCCGCGGUAAUACGUAGGGUGCAAGCGUUAAUCGGAAUUACUGGGCGUAAAGCGUGCGCAGGCGGUGAUGUAAGACAGAUGUGAAAUCCCCGGGCUCAACCCGGGAACUGCAUUUGUGACUGCAUUGCUGGAGUGCGGCAGAGGGGGAUGGAAUUCCGCGUGUAGCAGUGAAAUGCGUAGAUAUGCGGAGGAACACCGAUGGCGAAGGCAAUCCCCUGGGCCUGCAUUGACGCUCAUGCACGAAAGCGUGGGGAGCAAACAG